CCUACGGGUGGCAGCAGUGGGGGAUAUUGCACAAUGGGGGGAACCCUGAUGCAGCGACGCCGCGUGGGUGAAGAAGCGCCUCGGCGCGUAAAGCCCUGUCAGCAGGGAAGAAAAUGACGGUACCUGAAGAAGAAGCCCCGGCUAACUACGUGCCAGCAGCCGCGGUAAUACGUAGGGGGCAAGCGUUAUCCGGAUUUACUGGGUGUAAAGGGGGCGCAGACGGCGAUGCAAGCCAGGAGGGAAGGCCCGGGGCCCAACCCCGGGACUGCUCUUGGAACUGCGUGGCUGGGGUGCAGGAGGGGCGGGAGGAAUCCCGGGUGUAGGGGUGAAGUGCGGAGAUAUCAGGAGGAACACCGGUGGAGAGGGCGGCCUGCUGGACUGCAACGGACGUUGAGCCCCGAAGGCGUGGGGAGCAAACAGGAUGAGAGACCCUAGUAGUC
rnacentral:rRNA from 1 species